AGCAGCCGCGGUAAUUCCAGCUCCAAUAGCGUAUAUUAAAGUUGUUGCAGUUAAAAAGCUCGUAGUUGAAUUUCGGGAUCAGUACGCCGGUCGUGCCUUCGGUAUGCACUGGUGUCACUGGUUUCUCCCUUCUGAAGAACCAUCAUGCCAUUCAGUUGGUGUGGCGGGGAAUCAGGACUGUUACUUUGAAAAAUUAGAGUGUUUAAAGCAGGCUCGCGCUUGAAUACAUUAGCAUGGAAUAAUGAAAUAGGACGUUUGACCCUAUUUUGUUGGUUUCUAGGAUCGACGUAAUGAUUAAUAGGGAUAGUUGGGGGCAUUAGUAUUCAAUUGUCAGAGGUGAAAUUCUUGGAUUUAUUGAAGACUAACUACUGCGAAAGCAUUUGCCAAGGAUGUUUUCAUUAAUCAAGAACGAAAGUUAGGGGAUCGAAGACGAUCAGAUACCGUCGUAGUCUUAACCAUAAACUAAUGCCGACUAGGGAUCGGAUGAUGUUAAUUUUAAU
rnacentral:rRNA from 1 species